CCUACGGGAGGCAGCAGUGAGGAAUAUUGGUCAAUGGACGAGAGUCUGAACCAGCCCAGUAGCGUGAAGGAUGACUGCCCUAUGGGUUGUAAACUUCUUUUAUAUGGGAAUAAAAUGUUCCACGUGUGGGAUUUUGUCUGUACCCUAUGAAUAAGGAUCGGCUAACUCCGUGCCAGCAGCCGCGGUAAUACGGAGGAUCCGAGCGUUAUCCGGAUUUAUUGGGUUUAAAGGGAGCGUAGGUGGAUUGUUAAGUCAGUUGUGAAAGUUUGCGGCUCAACCGUAAAAUUGCAGUUGAAACUGGCAGUCUGGAGUACAGUAGAGGUGGGCGGAAUUCGUGGUGUAGCGGUGAAAUGCUUAGAUAUCACGAAGAACUCCGAUUGCGAAGGCAGCUCACUGGACUGCAACUGACACUGAGGCUCGAAAGUGUGGGUAUCAAACAGGAUUAGAUACCCCUGUAGUC
rnacentral:rRNA from 1 species